rnacentral:rRNA from 1 species
UACGUAGGGUGCAAGCGUUGUCCGGAAUUAUUGGGCGUAAAGAGCUCGUAGGCGGUCUGUCGCGUCUGCUGUGAAAAUCCAGGGCUCAACCCCUGGACCUGCAGUGGGUACGGGCAGACUAGAGUGCGGUAGGGGAGAUCGGAAUUCCUGGUGUAGCGGUGAAAUGCGCAGAUAUCAGGAAGAACACCCUGUGGCGAAGGCGGCCCCCUGGUUGGAUACUGACGCUGAUACGCGAAAGCGUGGGGAGCAAACAGG